rnacentral:rRNA from 1 species
GAUUAACGCUGGCGGCGUGCAUAACACAUGCAAGUCGAACGAUGAAACUCAUUAGAUUUCUUCGGAAUGAAAAUGAAUGGAUUAGUGGCGAACGGGUGAGUAACGCGUGAGUAACCUGCCUUACACAAGGGGAUAGCCUCUGGAAAAGGAGAAUAAUACCCUAUGAAACCAGACAAUCGCAUGAUAAUCCGGUCAAAAUGUUUAGUGGUGUAAGAUGGACUUGCGUCUUAUUAGCUCGUUGGUGAGAUAAAAGCUCACCAAGGCAACGAUCAGUAGCCGGCUUGGGAGAGUGUACGGCCACAUUGGGACUGGGACACGUCCCAGACUCCUACGGGAGGCAGCAGUGGUGAAUUUUGCACAAUGGGUGAAUCCCGAAUGCAGCGACGCCGCGUAAUUUAGAAGGCCUUCAGGUUGUAAAAAUCUUUUGUAUAGGAAGAAAAUGACAGUACUAUACGAAUAAGGUCCGGCUAAUUACGUG